GUCAGGUGAUGAGUCAGAGCCAUUCAACAGCAAUUUAAGACGCUCUGCUGGAAGGAGUGCCGCUGGGGCUGCAGCGGGAAGCAAAGGAGAACGCGAGCUGCCAGAACACGGAGUCUCUUUGCAACCUACCGCCCCUCCGGAAAUGCCGACCCCCCACCCCGAUCCCGCCUCCCUCCAGGAGCCCCCAGGUGCUAAUAUGGAAGACGGUAACUACUUGAUGACCAGGAGCAUGAAGCCCCCAGACCUACUGGCUCCUAAGGAUUGAUCAUGAUAACCCCUGUGACCCCGCCCCAUGACCUCACCAUCAACCAGAGAACAGUACAUGAACUGGAACUCCCCUUCCUCACCUUCCCUGUGAAAAGGCUUGCCUGAACCUCCUGGGGGAGUUUGGGGGGGUUGAUCACAAGCUGCCUUGGACUCCUUGCUUGGUGCCCUGCAAACAAUGCUGCACUUUCCUUCACCAACACUGUGUCAGUAGGUUGGCUUGACUGCUCGAGGGCGAGCAGAUCCAGGUUUGGUUCAAUAACCCAUCACUGUGUAAUAAAGCAUCCUUCUCAGAGCACUGAGAAGGUCUCAGUCUGCAGGACUGCUUCGGUGAACUUGCAUCAUUUCCACGGAUCAAUCUCUAGGUUCAAGUGUUAAAAGAAUAAAUAAAUCUUUACCUUUGUCACUUGCCACUGGAGAAGAAAGGAAGCUUAAUACUUGGUGACAGCAUUAUCAGCAUCAGUACCUUGUCCUGCAAAGGCGGUGCUAGUGGUAAAGGACCUGCCUGCCAAUGCAGGAGACAUAAGAAAUGCGGGUUCGAUUCCUGGGUGGGAAAGAUCCACUGGAGGAGGGCAUGGCAACCCAAUCCAGUAUUCUUGCCUGGAGAAUCCCAUGGACAGAGAAGCCUGGCGGGCUAUGGUUCAUAGGGUCACAAAGAGUCGGACAUGACUGAAUCGACUGAGCACACAGAACCUGCAAAACUCAGCCAAAGAAAUCUUGCUCCCCCCACCAAGUUCCGUUGAAAGUGGGUGACUUAAUAUCAGGAAAAUGUAGUUUUGUGACCACAAGAGAAAUUGUUUCAACAGUGAAAUGUCAAAUUCAAAAAAUUAACUUCUAAAUUUUUUAAUAUAACCUUAUAAGAAUAAUCAAAUUGUUUUUGAGGAUAUGUCCGAUUUUUUUUUUGUAACCCAUGAACUUGGU